rnacentral:rRNA from 1 species
AGCUUGCUACUUUGCUGACGAGCGGCGGACGGGUGAGUAAUGCUUGGGAACAUGCCUUGAGGUGGGGGACAACAGUUGGAAACGACUGCUAAUACCGCAUAAUGUCUACGGACCAAAGGGGGCUUCGGCUCUCGCCUUUAGAUUGGCCCAAGUGGGAUUAGCUAGUUGGUGAGGUAAUGGCUCACCAAGGCGACGAUCCCUAGCUGGUUUGAGAGGAUGAUCAGCCACACUGGGACUGAGACACGGCCCAGACUCCUACGGGAGGCAGCAGUGGGGAAUAUUGCACAAUGGGCGCAAGCCUGAUGCAGCCAUGCCGCGUGUGUGAAGAAGGCCUUCGGGUUGUAAAGCACUUUCAGUCAGGAGGAAAGGUUAACGGUUAAUACCCGUUAGCUGUGACGUUACUGACAGAAGAAGCACCGGCUAACUCCGUGCCAGCAGCCGCGGUAAUACGGAGGGUGCGAGCGUUAAUCGGAAUUACUGGGCGUAAAGCGUACGCAGGCGGUUUGUUAAGCGAGAUGUGAAAGCCCCGGGCUCAACCUGGGAACUGCAUUUCGAACUGGCAAACUAGAGUGUGAUAGAGGGUGGUAGAAUUUCAGGUGUAGCGGUGAAAUGCGUAGAGAUCUGAAGGAAUACCGAUGGCGAAGGCAGCCACCUGGGUCAACACUGACGCUCAUGUACGAAAGCGUGGGGAGCAAACGGGAUUAGAUACCCCGGUAGUCCACGCCGUAAACGAUGUCUACUAGAAGCUCGGAGCCUCGGUUCUGUUUUUCAAAGCUAACGCAUUAAGUAGACCGCCUGGGGAGUACGGCCGCAAGGUUAAAACUCAAAUGAAUUGACGGGGGCCCGCACAAGCGGUGGGAGCAUGUGGUUUAAUUCGAUGCAACGCGAAGAACCUUACCUACACUUGACAUACAGAGAACUUACCAGAGAUGG